rnacentral:tRNA from 1 species
GGUGCAGGAGUGGUUUAACUGGAACGCCUGGAAAGCGUUUGUACGGGCUUAAACUCGUACCGAGGGUUCGAAUCCCUCCCUUUCCG